rnacentral:lncRNA from 1 species
GUUAUGAUAAUUUCUCUGUACAACAAAGUAAUUCAGUCAUACAUGUACAUUCUUUUUCAGGUGAGCCUCUAAGACUGUUCCCACCAUCCCUCAGCCCAGAACACUGCUCUGUUAUCCCACCUCCAGCUCUUGUCUAAGAGUGGUCCCCUACUGAUCUGGUUCUCUCAGAGGGGAAGAAAUUCUUCUCUACUGAUCUAGGUUCUUCUGGCUGAUCUAAGGAUGAAACUGACACGAGACAGAUUAACAGGAGAAAACCAAACAUUUAACAGCACGUAUACAGGGGAAAGACCCAGGAAAACUGAGUUACUUGCCAAAACCCUGAAGCAUGGCCUUAAAGGCCAUCUUCAGCUAAAGACAAAAGAGGAUGUGGAGGGUAUCAGUUUGGGACUUCAAAGGGCAGGAAGGCAAUUCACAUGGAGACAGCAAAGCACAUGUUCGGUAAACAAAUGUCUGCUGGGCAUCAGAGGCAACAGGACGCAGAGAGACACUAAUCUCUAGGUCCUGCCCAGUUUCCCCCACCACACCCUGCCCCUAUUCUUUGUAGCUAUAUCUGGUAAUAGCUCUAUUCCAGGAACAGGCCCUUGAUCUCAAUAACGUUAGGUACGUCAAGGAAAGAUAACAUGAAAAACUUGAUGAGUCUUCUAUGUCUAAAACAAUCAGCCUAGGAGUUCCCGCUGUGCCACAACAGGAUAGGUGGUACUUCUGCAGUGCCAGGACAUGGGUUCAGUCUCUUGCCCCAGGGACUCCACAUGCUGUGGGGCAGCCAAAAAAGAAAGGAUAAUACAGCAACAAUAAUAAUAAUCAGUCUAAAUUAAUCCUCAUGCCAAAAAGACACAUUUUAUUGUGGGAAACUGUGUUUCCCUAUAGUUCACAUCCUGUUUUACAGCCUGCCUCCAACACCCCCUCCCCACUAGACUGGAAGCCCCUGAGGGAAGGACCUCAGAUAUAGUGAUGACCGCCUCCCUCUAGCAGCUGCCCAUCCACAUUCUCUCUGCACAGCAUUUUAAAAUAAAGCUUCAUCAGGUAACAGAAAAAGAAAAGUUCCUGUCACUGCUCAGUGGUUAACAAACCCAACUAGUAUCCAUGAGGAUGCAGGAUCAAUCCCUGGCCCUCACUCAGUGGGUUAAGGAUCUAGCAUUGCCAUGAACUGUGGUGUAGGUUGCAGAUGCAGCUUGGAUUCCCAUGAUUGUGGUGGCUGUGGUGUAGGCUGACAGCUACAGCUCCCAUUUGACCCCCAGCCUGGGAACGUUCAUGUGCCACAGGUGAGGCCCCAAAAAGACCAAAAAAAAAGGAAAAAAAAUACUGGUGCCUGGGUUGCAUACCUAAGAUCUUAAAUGAUUUUCGAUCUAUUAGCCCCCAGCAUGGGUUUGUUUUUUUGUUUGGUUGGUUAGUGGGCUUUUUUUGCCUGUUUGUUUUUUUAAAAGCUCCCCCUGGUGAGGCUAUUGUGCAGCCAGGUUUUAAACACCACUUUAGAAGACCUGCUUCUAAACCAUCUGUGGGGAACGACCAGUUGUUUCUUAUUUCCAAAAGUAUCCAAACCCAAUAAAAAUGAAUACCUAGAAAAAUAAAAAAUGCAUACAAAAUACAAGCCACCGCGUUUUCAUAUUUUUAAACUGAAGUAAUGGGCAGUUGGUCUGUGUACUUAAUAUUAAAUUUCUAAAUGCUUAUUCUCAAUUUCUGUAUCUAUAUCCUUGUGCACCAGUAACUAAGGCACAGUUUGCACCCCAACAGAAGUCUACCAAACCCACGCUCAGAGAGGCAUUGCCCAGAGGGCACAGGAAGGGACAAAAUAUAGUCUAACAACUUAGCUGUACCAUUCAGCUGACACCUCCCUGGAGUGACCUGUUGCCUAUCUAACCAGUACAGCAGUGCUACAAAGAUCAGGACAGACUUACCCUCUGACAGAUUUCUGUGCUAUUAUGGGUAAAAGGACGUGGUGUUAUUUAGAAAGUUGAAAAAAUUGGAUUUCUGGGGUGGUUUAUAUACAAAGCACUCCCUUUUUUAACAAUAAUUUUACAUUUGUUCACUUGGUUGUUUUUUUAAAUAUCUCUGUAUUAGAAUACGUGUUUGCAUUACCUAAUAUGUAAUGUAGAGGUGUCUCAUUCUUCUCCCUGAAAAUAUGCUAUUAUCAUGAAAGCACAUGUUGAAAAUGAUAGCAUCUAACUGUAAAAAGCAUGCAUGACUUCGACCAAGACUAAAAGAGGGGAGUUCCCGGGUGUGGCUCAGUGGAAAUGUAUCUGACCAGUAUCUCUAAGGACGCAGGUUCCAUCCCUGGCCUCACUCAGUGGCUUAAGGAUCUGUAGUUGCCAGAAGCUGUGGUGUAGGUCGCAGAUGGCUUGGAUCCCACGUUGCUGUGGCUGUGGUGUAGGCUGUAGGGUAAGCUCUGAUUCUACCCCUAGCCUGGGACCCUCCAUACGCCGAGGGUAUGGCCCCAAAAAGACCAAAAAAAAAAAAAAAAAGACUAAAAGAGGAAAGGGAGACUCGUGGUCUAAAAUUAAUUUGAGGAUGGAAGGAAUGAAGGUGGCUCAGCAGAGCAAAUGAAGGCUUCACAGAGAAGGAAGCAUGAGGGGUGGGGCUUAAAGAGAGUUAGGAUUAAAGAGGGAGAUAGAAGCAAGGAAGGAUUUGAGCCCAGUGUGAAGGACAGCAGAAGACUGCUAGUUGUAGCACCAGGGCUGUGCCAUGAUGAGGGAGGGAGGGACACAAUGAAGAGACAUCUCUUCCGAGAGGGCGUGGGUCCCCAAGGCUCCAGGUCCAUUCCUGCCCUUCUUUAGCAACCACAAAAGACAGUGAUUUCUUUAACUAUCUGGGGAAAGACCAAACGAAGAAGCUUAAAUAUGAUCUAAGCCUAAGUCCAUGGUCUUCCCAGGAAGUUUAAAAAGGAGAACUUGAGAAAAUACUUCUGCUUCUGAGCCAUGGUGAGAAAAAUGAGAUUUCCCAGUUGUCUCAAGCAUCGAUCCACAAAUUCAGUGAAAAAGAUCUUGCCUCUUAUUUAUUUAAAAAAAAAACCCUGGAACAAGCUCUGCUUGGUCAAGGUUAAGGGAUUUUUUUUUAAGAGAUAGCUCAAUUACAAAAAUAACAUUAGUUUUGGUCUUUUGAUAGCCCACAGAAUUAAAUUUUCUAAGAAAACCCACGAUUUGGUUUUUUUAAUUUCUAGGAAUAUUACUACUUACCUCCCUUUGGUUUUAAAUAUGAUAUGAUACAGAGUAUUAUUAAUAAUAAACACUUCAUAUAUGUUAUUCCCAUUCAUCAUCAGAGAACCCUAGUAGGUAGAUAUUACAGACUGAAGCAUAGUGACAUAGUUACUUGUCCAAAGUCCUAGGGAUUGUCAGUGACAGAAUGAAGACUCAAACUUAGGUCUCUGGUGCCAAAUCCUUUGAAGGUCACCACCUGUGAAAUGCUUUCACUCCCACUGCAGUCCUAAAUCUUAUAACAGCUCAGCCAGUCAAGCUUCGUCUAUUGAAACAUAAGCAAAUACAAACAUAAGGAAGGUACAUUAAAAGCUAAAGCACAUAUUGGUUUGGGGGAGGAGGUUAGGUUUUUUUGGUUUGGGGGUUUUUUUGGACUGCACCAGUGGCGCUCGGAAGUUGCCGGACCAGGGACUGAAUUUGAGCCACAGCUGCAACCACAUUGGAUCCUUAACCCACUGCGCCAUAGCAGGAACUCCCCACAAAUUGUUUGAAAAUUCUGGAACACCCUGCUCUCUGAAAAUGGCCAACCAAAAAGCUUGACAUUUUUCAGGUUGAAAUCUUUAGUAGACGUGGUUUUUCAUGUGCCCAGCCCUGAUUCCUCACUGAGAGUCACCAUUAAUCCUUCUGGGUAACUUCACUUUAAUGGCCUUAGAGUCUUCUUUAAGCUCAUCCUUUUCCGCCCCAACUUUCUUCCUCAAAUAUGAAUGACUUUUAAAGACUUGUUCCUGCCUCAGGCACUUGACACUUGCCAUUCUCUCUGCAGGGAACUCUCUUUCCCCAAUAUCCACAUGCCUGGUUUGGCUCAUCACUCCAACCCAAAUAUCACCUCCUCCAAGGGGCCUGCUAGGAUUACACUAUGUCAUGCUACCCCCACUCAGCUCCUCAUUUGCUUCUUGUACUUUCUCUCUAGUCUUUGUCAUUAUCAGAGAUUCUUAUUCACUGGACAUGCAAACUCCACCCAACUUAAGAGAAAGAAUCAAAGUUAAUACAGAAUAAAUGAACCAGAUGCCUCACAUUUCAUAAACAAACCAUACCCUCAAGGGAAAGUUCCUCAAAGUAAAUUCAAAAUAAGGAAAGACACCAAUAUUGAAUAUUUUGCUGGCUUAUAUAGAGAAACACUCAAAGGUGAUGCACACAGAAAAUUUCUACCAAACAACAGUACAUCAACCUCUUCUUCCUGCUGUUUAACACUCUUCCCUCCGCCAAUAUUGUCCUCCGCAAUCCUUAAUGUUUCUAAAAUAACUUUUUAACUACGGCUAUGAAUUAUUUCCUACAUUGCCUCCUCUAUGAAAUAGGUUAGGUUGCAAAAAUCAGCUAAGAAAAGAUUGCUAAUUAAGCUAUCCAACAUAGAGUACAUCUUCCCUUCCUGAAAACUUUGAGCAAUCUUCCCAACAGAUUCCUCAGGGCAACUUUCCAGUAUGCCUUAUUAUUAGAGGAGUCUCUUGGUCCUCAGCAAUAGGACAAUUCAGAGACCCUACAUUUCCAUCUACAACAUAGUGGGGCUGAAACUCAGCAGUCUGAUCGUUCCCUAGCAUGUUAUGUGAUGCAGAUUAAUUUUUUAUCAAAAGCAUGCAGUUUAUGGCUUUAAAAUAUAAGAGGAAGACUCCCAGCUAUGAUAAAAUAACCCAUUUUCUAAAGGCACCUUUUUAUAACCCCAAUCCUAUACACAAUUGUGAAUCAAGGGAAUUCUUAUUGCAGGAUGCUUUCAGCUCACAGUACCUCCCCUCCCCUUGAGGUGACUGAAAUUACAUUCACAUAUAUAAAAUCUCUCCUCCUACACUGACAACAUUGAUCAAGGGCUAGCAUUAAAAUUAUGUUUUAGAGCCUACUUCUCAAAGCUCUGUCAGCUUUAUUUCAGAGAUUUUGGGGUCCCAAAAAUAAGCAAGUACAGAUAAUAUCAACACAAUGGUAAGUUCAUAAUCACAUAUCCACAUUUGGAUAAAGUUAUACUGAAUAACUGAAUAUAAAACAGUAAAUAUUUUAAGUAGUUUGGGCUAUUAAUUUAAAGACUUAAGAAGUAACUUUGGAGUUCCCAUCAUGGCUCAGCGGAAACGAAUCUGACUAGCAUCCAUAAGGUCUCAGGUUUGAUCCCUGGCCUCGCUCAGUGGGUUAAGUUGCUGUGGCUGUGGUGCAGGCCGGCAGCUGUAGCUCUGAUUCAACCCCUAAACUGGGAACCUCCAUAUACCGUGGAUACGGCCCUAAAAAGACAAAA